rnacentral:lncRNA from 1 species
UGCUUAGGUUAGUUGAGCUUUGUUAGGUUUUGUGUUGUGUUUAUGGAUAAUGUAGGUUGCUGAGUUGCUUUCGAUGUGUUGUAGUUGGGGUUUAGGAUAGUUUGAAGCCCCUAGGAGCUUAUGUAUGUGUUUAUGCAUGUUUUGGUUGAGUUGUAUGCAUGAUUGAAGGUUUUAGGAGGCCAAUGUGCAUAAGAGCCGAGUUUCUGCCACUUUGGGAGAAACUCAGGUUCGGCAGCCGAAGGGACUUUCGGCCGCCGAACCUGCCUGUGGAGGCAAGCUUUCGGGUGCCGAAGCCUGCCCCCGAAAGUGGACUUUCGUCUCUGGAGGGGACUUUCGGCCGCCGAACAUGCAUGAGUUUCGCCUCUGGAGAGAACCUUCGGCCGCCAAAAGUGCCGCCGAAGGUGCAUGACUUUCGGCUCUGGAGGGACUUUCGGCAGCCGAACCUGCCGCCGAAAGUGCCUUGUUCAGCCCUCCUUUGCAUGAAUUCUUUGAUUGUUUUGAGGUGUUUUAGGGGGUUUUUGGGGCAUAUUUUUAGAGUCAUGUUCUAGUAUGUUUGGUCCCUUAUUUGAGUCCACCUGUGUAGGUUCGGACCCAAGGAACCGAGGACCCCAGCAGUGAGUUAGCUGCUUCAGUUCAUUGUCAGAGUUAGCCUGAGGUGAGUAGAAUAAACCUUAUGUUUUAAAUUAAUGCAAGUUUUAGCAAGAAUCAUGCAUCACGAAUGCCAUGUGAUAUAAUAGGUUGUUGCAUUAGAAUCCACGAAUAUGUUGCACUGCAUUCUUUGUUAUGGAUGUGGGUGAAUGCUGUAUGAUCCAAUUAGUCCCUGAGGAAAGACCAGGACCCCAUUCUACGGCCUGGCACGGUAUGAAAGACCAGGACCCCAUUCUACGGCCUGGCACGGUAUGGAACGCGAAGACCAGGUGCCCAGAUGAGGCCCUGGGGCAAUGGUAAGUAAUGUUAUGAUAUGACAGGAAGACCAAGACCCCAUUCUACGGCCUGGCACGGAUAUGAUGCUGGGACUAUUUGGUGACAGGUUCACCCUUGAUGUGAUUUGUCUGUGAUAUGAUGCAUUACAUGAUGACAUAUGUUUUAAAUGUUUUAGUAUUCUGCUCACUGGGCUCUAGUAGCUCACCCAUUUCCCUAUAUCCCCCAGGUUUGCAGGUACGGGCUAGUUCAAGGAGUCAAGAAGAGUAAAGUCUUGUGAUUUGUAAUAGUUAGAUGUGGACAUGAUGAUUUGUAAAAUGAUGUAAGGUUAUGAUCAGUCAUGUUAUGUAAUAUUGAUAUUGAGGAUUAGAAUUGUGCUUGACCAUAGUAUGUUUGAAUAAUCCCAUGUAUAUACAUGAUCUAUGUUUUAUGAUGUUUAUGUUCAACCAAGCUUGAUGAUUGAUGAGAUACCCCAUUGGAGCAUGUGAUGAGACUCCAGUGUGUGGUUUAUGUUUAUGUUUAUUUGCAUGCACAGGUUGAGCUUGGUAAAAGAAAAGAAAAAGUUCUCAUGUUUAUGUAUAUGUGUGAUCCUGUAUGGGAUUUGACAGGUAUUCAGGAUGUAUGUUUGGCUUGUUACGGGUCCCGGCGACCUUAUGUCGAUCUGGAUCCUAGCGCCGGUAGCGGUCCUGUUUCCAGGUCGUUACAGAGUGGUAUCAGAGCCCUAGGUUCAUAUGAUCGGACCUAUAGUGUCUCGGGCUCAUAGGUGUCAUAGAAGGUCAAGCACAAUAGGAUGAUCAUGUCCACUAGGAUAGGAUAAAGAGUCCUGUCUUGAAUGAUGAUGUGAAAUGCCAUGAUUAUAUGCAUGUGUAUUAAUGUUAUGCUAUGAUAUGUGAUGUAUGUGAUGCGGGUUCAUGUGUUUGCACAUGAACCAUUUGAUGCUAAUGUUCUAUGUGAUGUGUACUGUUUUUCAGAAAACAGGAUGAAAGGAACUCGUCGAUCUGCACGAUUGACUGGAGUACCACCCCAGGACGAGGGCACUGAUGCCCGUCCUCCUGCAUUGCCUAGGGCAAUGUCAAGCAGGUCCAGCAGAGAAAGAGCAGUAAGUGACCUUAGAAGGUCUUUGGAUCUGGGUAGAAGCAGAUCAAUGAGGGGAACAGUGCAAGGGGAUAUGUCAGAGGAUGUGGGGGAUCAGAUGGAUGUGGAUCAGAGGAGGGAUGGCAGUCUCGGAGUAAGUAUGUCGGAAGAGGGAAUGGGAGAGUCCCAAGGAGGCGCUCAGGCCUCGGGAUUUGUUCAGCCACCUUACUACCCACCCUUUUCACAUAAUCUCGGGUAUUCGAUGGGAGGUACAUCAGAUUACCCCAGUUUUAACUCUUAUCACUCUCAGAUGCCAUACCCACCUUUCUACCCACCGUACCCACAGUACCCUAUGUACCCACCCCCACCCUACCAUCCAGGUACAACAAACCCUACCCCAAGGGAUGUUGCACCUCCUCCACCACCAGUAGCACCUACUGUCCCAGAAACCCAAAUGCCUAAACCUAGCUCAUCUGGGGGGAGCAAGGUCAAGAUGACCGAUUAUAUGAAGCUGGGUGCUCCCCAGUUUGAAACCGGUGAUGACCCGUUUGUGUACCUCGAGAGGGUCAAGACAAUUACAGAUGAUAUAGGAUCUGAUGACAGUAGAGCCAUUCAGAUGGCUGGGUUCACACUAAAAUACAAGAAGGCCCGAGAGUGGUUUAAGAACUAUGUGAACCCGAGGUUGGACAGCCUAUCAUGGGAGGAGUUUGCAAAUGAGUUUGCAGGAUGGGCUUUCCCUGACAGUUCAAGAGAAUUGAAGAUGAUUAAGUUCGAGCAGCUGAGGCAAACGGAUGAGAUGAGUGUGGAUGAGUAUACAGACAGAUUCUUGGAGCUGUUGCCGUUCGCUGGGCAGAAUCUGGAUACAGAUCAGAAAAAGUCAAGGAGGUAUAUCAUGAAGCUCCAUUCCAGGUAUUCCUCCUUGAUUCAGUCAGCAGAGAGGGAGAGUUUCCAUGCCAUAGUGGAUAUGGCUCGGAGGAUGGAGGCUAGUGCAAUAAUCGAGGGGAAAGUCAAGCAGUCAGUGGCACAGCCUUCUGGUUCCAAGACCCCAGGUAGGGGACAGUUAGACCCUUCUUCUCUGAGUUCAGGCAGUAAGAGAUGGGGUAAAGCCAAGUCUAAGAAGAACAAGUUCUGGAGCAAGAUCAAGUCAGGUCUGGGAUUAGGGAGUGGCUCAAGCUCUGGUGCAGAUAAUGCAGUAUGCAAGAAGUGUGGGAAGCCGCACAAAGGAGUAUGUCUUGUUGGGACGACAGCCUGCUUCAGAUGUGGGCAGGAGGGACACAUGGCACGGGAGUGUCCUAGGGCAGCUUUUGUGGCACAGUCUCAGCAGACAGCUUCAGGUAGUGUGGCACAGCCAGUAGCUCCAGCUGCGACUCAGGCUAGUGGCAGAGGCAGAGGGAGAGGGGCCGCCUCUUCUUCAGCGAGUUUCAAGGGUGAGGGUCCAUCAGCUCCGGCACGGAUCUUCACCAUGACUCAGCAGGAGGCAAACACAUCCAACACCGUGGUGUCAGGUAAUCUCAUCAUUGGUUGUUCCGAUGUGUAUGCAUUAUUGGACCCUGGUGCAUCUCAUUCUUUCAUUACUCCAAGGGCCGUCGAGAGGUUGGGAUUGAUGGUCUCUAGGUUAGAGUGUCCCCUAUGGGUCAGUAGACCCAAGUGUGACCCGUCAGUGGCAGAGUCAGUCUGCCAGUGUAGUGCAGUUUUUGUGGAGGUAAGAUGCCUGUUCGCCGACCUUGUGGUUCUAGAUUUGACAGAUUUUGACGUCAUUCUAGGGAUCGAUUGGCUAUCUACCCAUGGUGAUACCUUGGAUUGCAGAGACAAGGUAGUCAGGUUCAAAUGUCAGGAUGGGUCAGAGGUUGUCUUCAGAGGAGACAGGAGGGGUACACCUAGAGGUUUGAUAUCAGCCCUACAGGCUCGUAGGCUCCUCAGGAGGGGUUGUUAGGGUUUUCUAGCUCAUGUGAGAGAGCUGGAUAGUUAUGUCAGAGAGCCCGCCUCGGUGCCAGUGGUUAGAGAGUUUUUAGAUGUGUUCCCAGACGAGCUGCCAGGUUUACCACCUGCUAGGGAGAUAGAGUUUGAAAUUGAAUUAAUGCUUGGAACCAGACCAAUCUCUAUCCCUCCCUACAGGAUGGCACCAGCAGAAUUGAAGGAGCUUAAGGAGCAAUUGCAAGAGCUGGUAGACAAGGGCUUCAUCCGACCGAGUACCUCACCUUGGGGUGCUCCAGUAUUGUUUGUGAGAAAGAAGGAUGGAUCCCUCAGACUUUGUAUCGACUACAGGCAGUUGAACAAGGUCACUACCAAGAAUAAGUACCCGUUGCCAAGGAUCGACGAUCUAUUCGACCAGCUAGCAGGAGCAGGUUGUUUCUCCAAGAUAGAUCUGAUAUCAGGGUACCAUCAGCUGAGGAUAAGGGAAGAGGAUGUACCGAAGACAGCCUUCAGGACUAGAUAUGGGCAUUUUGAGUUCCUUGUGAUGCCGUUUGGGUUAACCAACGCCCCUGCAGCAUUCAUGGAUCUCAUGAACAGGGUUUUCAGUCAGUACCUGGAUCACUUUGUUAUUGUCUUCAUAGAUGAUAUCUUAGUGUAUUCCAGGAAUGCAGAGGAGCAUGCCCAUCAUCUGAGGUUAGUUCUGCAGACUUUGAGGGAACACGGCUUGUAUGCCAAGUUCUCCAAAUGUGAGUUCUGGCUGAGGAGCAUAUCAUUCUUGGGGCACGUUGUGUCAGAAAAUGGGAUUGAAGUGGACCCCAAGAAGGUAGAAGCUGUGGCUAACUGGCCUAGACCCACUUCAGUGACGGAGAUCAGGAGUUUCUUGGGUUUGGCAGGUUACUACAGGAGGUUCGUUCAGGACUUCUCUAAGAUUGCAGCUCCCCUGACCAGAUUAACCAGGAAGAAUCAGAAGUUUGUGUGGACCGACCAGUGCGAAGAGAGUUUUGAAGAGCUUAAGACGAGGUUAACGUCAGCACCGGUGUUAGCUUUGCCUAACUGUUGAGAGAAUUUCACAGUGUUCUGUGAUGCAUCCCGAGUGGGAUUGGGUUGUGUGCUAAUGCAGAAUGAAAGGGUGAUUGCUUAUGCUUCUAGGCAGCUGAAGAAGCAUGAGUUGAAUUACCCUACACAUGACCUGAAAAUGGCAGCCGUAAUCUUUGCACUCAAGAUGUGGAGGCAUUACCUUUAUGGGGUGAAAUGUGAGAUCUUCACCGAUCAUAAAAGCCUGCAGUACAUCCUGAGUCAAAGAGAUUUGAACUUGAGACAGAGAAGAUGGGUAGAGCUGCUGAGUGAUUACGAUUGCAAGAUUCAGUACCAUCCAGAUAAGGCGAAUGUGGUGGCAGACGCCCUAAGCCGGAAAUCACUAGGCAGCUUAUCCCACAUCACGGCUGAGAGGAGACCGGUGGUGAAAGAGUUUUACAAGCUCAUUGAGGAAGGUCUGCAGCUAGAGUUGUCUGGUACAGGUGCUUUGAUAGCCCAGAUGAGAGUGACACCUGUGUUCCUGGAGCAGGUGGCUCAAAAACAACAUGAAGACCCAGAGUUAGUAAAGAUUGCCAGGAAGGUUCAGUCAGGCAAAAAUGAAGAGUUCAGAUUCGACAGCAAGGGGAUCCUCCGCUAUGGGAAUAGACUAUGUGUACCAGAUGACAUCAGUUUAAAGGGAGACAUUAUGAGGGAAGCUCAUAAUGCCAAGUACAAUGUUCACCCUGGAGCCACCAAGAUGUAUCAAGAUCUGAAGAGAGUGUAUUGGUGGCCAGCUAUGAAGAGAGAAGUGGCACAGUUUGUGUCAGCCUGCGAAGUAUGUCAGAGGGUGAAGUUGGAACAUCAGAAGCCGGCUGGAAUGCUUAACCCACUACCUAUUCCAGAGUGGAAAUGGGAGAAUAUAGUUAUGGACUUCGUAGUGGGGUUACCGGCAGCAUCCAACAGGUUAGACUCCAUAUGGGUGAUUGUGGACAGACUGACCAAAUCUGCUCACUUCAUCACUGUCAGGAGCAACUACUCAGUGGAUAAGUUAGCGCAGGUGUAUGUGGAUGAAGUUGUAAGGCUGCAUGGGGUUCCUGUUUCAAUAGUGUAUGAUAGAGGGCCCCAGUUUACCUCUAGAUUUUGGCGGAGUCUGCAGAAUGCUAUGGGUACCAGGUUAGAUUUCAGUACUGCCUUCCAUCCAUAGAUGGACGGACAGUCAGAGAGGACCAUCCAGACUAUAGAAGAUAUGCUCAGAAUGUGUGUACUAGAUUUUGGCUGUUCUUGGAGGCAGCAUCUACCCUUGGUGGAGUUUGCCUACAAUAACAGCUAUCAUGCUAGCAUAGGUAUGGCUCCAUAUGAAGCUUUAUAUGGGAGGAAGUGCAGGUCACCUGUUUGCUGGGAAGAAGUGGGGGAAAAGGCUUUCGCAGGCCCUGAGCUUGUUGAGAUCACCAGCAGGGUGCUGCCCAUUAUCAGAGAAAGGAUCAGAAAAGCUGUGAGUAGACAGAAAUGCUAUGCAGACAUUCGCAGGAGGCAGGUAGAGUUUCAGGAGGGAGAUCUGGUAUUGCUCAAAGUGUCUCCUAUGAAAGGAGUGGUUCGUUUUGGGAAGAAAGGUAAGCUAGCCCCACGAUACAUCGGACCUUUUGAAAUCUUGCAGAAGAUUGGGAAUGUGUCAUACAAGCUGGAUUUACCUGCUUCAAUGGAAAGAAUCCAUCCGGCUUUCCAUGUUUCCAUGUUGAGGAAGUUCGUGUCAGAUCCGGGCAAGGUUCUUAGUGAGCCUAAUGUGGAGAUCUAAAAAGAUCUCACCUAUGUUGAACAGCCAGUGCGGAUUCUUGACACCCAGAUCAGGAAGCUGAGAAACAAGGAAAUCCCGAUAGUGAAAGUCCUUUGGAACCACCACAAUAUGGAAGAAUGCACCUGGGAGACACGGGAGUCCAUGCUCCUGCAAUACCCUUAUCUUUUCUAAGGUUAGUUUCUUGUAUGUUUCAUGUGUUUUAUGUGUAUGAUGUGUUAUAUGCCUUGCAUGUGCUAGUUGAGGAACAUUCGGGGACGAAUGUUCUUAAGGGGGGGAGAAUGUAAUACCCGGCUUGACUCCGGUAUCGGAAAUUCCUACCGUCCGGUGGAAUCUCGGGAGUCGGAGACUUCUAGAAGGGUAAAACCAUGUUUUAUAAAAUGUUUUAAUGUAAUUUAUGUUUUUAAGCAAGAAAGAAAAUGAGUUUUUGCAUGAAAAUAGCAUUGGAGGAAAACUCGGGUUCGGCCGCCGAACAUGCAUGCGCUUCGGGAGUGCUUUAGGCCCCCGAAGGCAUAAGUGAGGGAAGUCCAGGUUCGGCCGCCGAACCUUAUGUUCGGCCGCCGAACAUGGCAUGCAUGCGGAGGCACGUUAGGCCCCCGAAAGUGGCCUGGCCAGCCACCUAUAAAGGGGUCCCCAUGUCCGAACGGGUGAGCUUUUUCUCCCUAUUUUCGGCCAAGAUGAGUCUCCGCCGCUCUCAUGCCGAUCUUGAGUUCUUCCUUCAAAUCUUCCAUGAUUUUUAUGAGUUUUCACCUUUGUUUUGAAGAUUUUUAAGCAAAUAGCAAGUUUUGGAGCUUGGAGGUUCAAGGAACUCGAUCUCUCCCAUCUCUGAGCUAGGAUCGUUUUUCCUCUCGAUCUUCAAGAGGUAAGAGCCGAUCUUGAGCUCAUUAUAUGUUUUAAACAAGUUUCAAGUUGAUUCUUGGGGUAGAAAUGCAUGCUUAGGUUAGUUGAGCUUUGUUAGGUUUUGUGUUGUGUUUAUGGAUAAUGUAGGUUGCCGAGUUGCUUUCGAUGUGUUGUAGUUGGGGUUUAGGAUAGUUUGAAGCCCCUAGGAGCUUAUGUAUGUGUUUAUGCAUGUUUUGGUUGAGUUGUAUGCAUGAUUGAAGGUUUUGGGAGGCAAAUGUGCAUAAGAGCUGAGUUUCUGCCACUUUGGGAGAAACUCAGGUUCGGCAGCCGAACCUGCCUGUGGAGGCAAGCUUUCGGGUGCCGAAGCCUGCCCCCGAAAGUGGACUGUCGUCUCUGGAGGGGACUUUCGGCCGCCGAAGGUGCCGCCGAACAUGCAUGAGUUUCGCCUCUAGAGAGAACCUUCGGCCGCCGAAAG